rnacentral:rRNA from 1 species
CAAUAGCGUAUAUUAAAGUUGUUGCAGUUAAAAAGCUCGUAGUUGGAUUUCUGAUCGAGACAUCAGGUCGGGUCCGAGAGGAUCAUGUACUUUGAUUUUGUUUUGAUCAUCCUUGGGGUGAGCAUUUCUGGCAUUCAGUUGUCGGGAUUGGGAUCCUCAUCGUUUACUGUGAAAAAAUUAGAGUGUUCAAAGCAGGCCUCGGCCUCUGAAUACAUUAGCAUGGAAUAAUAAGAUAGGACUUUGGUGGUCUAUUUUGUUGGUUUGCACGCCAAAGUAAUGAUUAAUAGGGAUAGUUGGGGGUAUUCGUAUUCAAUUGUCAGAGGUGAAAUUCUUGGAUUUAUGGAAGACGAACUACUGCGAAAGCAUUUACCAAGGAUGUUUUCAUUAA